CAGGACAGCUGGUGGCCUUGAAAAUGCUGGUGAAGGAGAAGACUUUACCAGAUAAUUUCCUCUUGGAAUAUAGUAUCUGCGUCUACCUUGGGAUUCAUCCCCAUAUCAUUACCACCUUUAGAAUGGCCUUCGAAACACCAAGCAGCUAUGUGUUUGUUCAGGAGGUUGCACCAGCUGGGACACUACAUUCCAUCGUAACAAAGGU